rnacentral:rRNA from 1 species
GCGGGAUGCUUUACACAUGCAAGUCGAACGGCAGCACGAGGAGCUUGCUCCUUGGUGGCGAGUGGCGAACGGGUGAGUAAUAUAUCGGAACAUGCCCAGUAGCGGGGGAUAACUACUCGAAAGAGUGGCUAAUACCGCAUACGUCCUACGGGAGAAAGCAGGGGACCUUCGGGCCUUGCACUAUUGGAGUGGCCGAGAUCGGAUUAGCUAGUUGGUGGGGUAAAGGCCUACCAAGGCGACGAUCCGUAGCUGGUUUGAGAGGACGACCAGCCACACUGGGACUGAGACACGGCCCAGACUCCUACGGGAGGCAGCAGUGGGGAAUUUUGGACAAUGGGGGAAACCCUGAUCCAGCCAUCCCGCGUGUGCGAUGAAGGCCUCGGGUUGUAAAGCACUUCUGUCAGGAAAGAAAUCGCCCGGGAUAAUACCUCGGGUGGAUGACGGUACCUGAAGAAUAAGCACCGGCUAACUACGUGCCAGCAGCCGCGG